rnacentral:misc_RNA from 1 species
UGUAAUUUUUUUAUACAUUUAAGUUCGAUUGAAAUUUUUAAAAUUGUUAUGCUGAAUAGCUCGUAAAUAAAUUUAAGAAGUUUUAAAAUUUGUAUACCAGUUAACUUGGUGUAGAUAGUCACUCGUAGUAAAAAAGUUGUAACUGUGAUUGUAGCGAUUAAUUUUAAAUGGAGUGUCGGUGACUUCUCUAUUACCUAGGUUGUGCAAGCAAUGUUUUCAAGAAUUUUAAAUAUAAAGAAAGAAAAAGUUAUCACGCAAUGUGAAGAUCUAAGGAAAUCAGUAAAAGUAGAGAAAGAGUUUCAAGCUAUCCCUAGCAAACUUCCAAUAUUGGAUAAAGAUAGGAUUCGUAUUCUUAUUUAUAAAGACGCGGAGCCUAGAGGAGAUAGAACUCUGCUUUUUGAUUCUGAUGCUCUUCAGAAUGCAGCUAUAAAUGAACACUCAGAGUCAAAAAAAGAAAAGUCAAAAGAACAAGAAGAAUUAAAGCAGAAUGCAGAAUCAAAGACAAAAUUCAAACUUAAAAAGCCAAGUUCAGAUGUUAAAAUGCUAGGUGAAAUGAUUUUUGGAUCAGUCGCAAUGAUCUAUAAAGGAGCAAUUGUAAAAAUUCAUAUAAUCAGAUCACCUCCACAGCUCUUAAUGACAAAAGUGUUUGCUCUACGUUCAAGAAAUCAUGAAGUAAAUUUAUGUGAUUCUAAUUUGUCUUUGGAUUCUUUACAUAUGUGGCAAUCUGAUUCGGCAGAUUCAUCAAGUUCAGAAAGUAUAAUGAGAACCUUAUCUAAAUCAUCUGCUGUUAGCCAUCCAAUUCCUACACCAGUGCAACCUUCAUUUUUAUCAAAAUCUAAAAGUGUUAAUGGUUAUUCUUUAAGUGACUGCUACAAAAGCUCCUCUUUAGUUUCAGAAAAAAGUAUGUCUUCCCCAAAUGGUUGUUUACAGACACGUUUUCAUCGGUUUCAAAAAACUAGCCUAGACUUACCAAAUCUAUGGAGAUCAAAAUCAGAGAGUUCUGAUGAGGGAACUUAUAAACAGCAACCAAAGAUUGGUAUUGGUAUUAUAUUUAAACAAUGGAAUACUGCUGAAGAAAAUAAGGCUUUUCAGACAUUCUUCUUUUCUCAUUUUGCCCUUAUUGAAUGGCACUUACAAGCACUUCGCAUAAAGAUUGAAAAGUCGUUUUAUCUACAUAACAAUUUUAUGAAAGCAUCUAUUGCAGGUGUGGAGUGUUUUAAGGAAGAUAUUUUGAACCUUUUUUGCACCCCAAGAAUUUUGGAGCCAACUUGGUUGAGUCUAAUGACUUCUGAUGAUACACAUAAUAUUGAAAAUGUUAACAAUUUUAUGGAAUCUUUUAUGAACAUUGCAAAUGUCUGUGAAAAAAAAGAAACUAAUUACUUCUUGUCUAUAUUAUUGACGGCAGUGCUUUCCCAUCAUACUUCUUGGGUUGCAACUGUUAUGUCUAGUGGACUUACAUCAAAGCGUGCUUUUAUGGACAAGCAUUCUUCAAAAGCUGUUGCUGUUUUAGCUAAAUGUCAUCCUUAUAAUCCAUUGUGGGCCCAAUUAUGUGAUAUGUAUGGUUCAGUAAGUGUUCCGCUAAAACUAGCUCGUACUGUUAUUGUUGGUCAAAAUAAAGCAUUUGUUUGCCAGCUGUUGCAAGUACUCACUUACUUUAUCAGAUGUAGCGAUGUCAAAGAAACAGUUAUGCAAAUGGUGCCAGAUGAGGAAAAGCAGUUAUCUUCAUUAGGUACCAGUUUUGAAGAGAGCACUUUAAAUUUUUCUUCAAAUACUCCGAAAAAUAUUAAAAGUUGGAUUGAGAAUAGUCAAACACCUACAGAAGUUUUUUGCAAUAAUAAAGAGUUUUUUAGUAAUAAUAUAUCAAAUAAAAAUAAGAAAUCUGAAUCUUUAUUAAAUAGCUUGUGUGAAAGACACUGUGACUGUAAUCUAUUACAAAAGACGAAAUCGGUUUUGCACCCACCAAUAAAUUGUUGCUCACAAUUAGAUAGUCAUAAAUGUUGUAGUGAUCACUUGAACUCUUUAACUGUCGUAAAUUGCAAAUCAUGUUAUAUUUGUGGUACAUUAGAAAAACUAAUGUAUGAUGUGUUUUGUGAACAUUGUAAGAAAAAUAAAAAUUUUAUAGGAGAUCUUUUAUGUCAGACUUGUUUUAAAUGUUUAGAAAAGUUAUAUAAAAACUCACAAGAUCUUUUAACACAAACUAAAUCUAAUAAAUCAUUUAUUUGCUAUUGUUGUCCUUCUAUAAGUCAAACAGAAUCUAAUAUUUCUGAUAAAUUUUACAGACCCCGUAAAUCUUCAGAUCCUAUACCUUGUAUUAGUCCUAAAUCUAAGUCAACAAGAAACAGUACUAAAAGUCACGAUAGUGGUACAGAAGAAAUGAACUUUAUUCCUUCCUUAAAUGAGAGAAGUGUUUCUUGUAACAGUUCCAUUAGUUCCCAUUCUUCUAGCAUUGCAGUUGCCGACAUGGAUUCAGAUUAUUGUAGUAUUGAUAAUGAUACAAAAAGAUUUUCUCUUAAAGAACAGUCUGGUUUCAAUUCAAACAAUAUUCAAGUUAGUGAAUCAUCAGGAACACUUAAAAAUAUAGAACUAAAUUUUCAGACAGAAAUAAUGCUUGAAGAAAAGCAAAGCACAUUAAGUAAAGAUUUGAAAAAAAUGUGCUUAAAAGAACUUUCCAUGCCAAGAACUCAUCAAACCAUAGAAAAAAAAAAGAGACAGUCUAGAUACUUCUUAUAUGACUUUUGGAAGGUCUUUGCUUGCUGGAUACUCUGAAAACUACACUUCCAAUUUUGUCCUUCAAGGUGUCGCUAAACUAAACAAAGAGAAAUUAGCUAUAGACUUGAAAAAUUCAGUUCAGUAUUCUGUAUUAGAUGAAGUGGCUUCUGAUGCAAUAUGCAUUGUGGCAAAUGUAGACAACUGGACAUGCGAAACAUGGAGUUUAACAAGGAGAACUAAUUCUAGCAACCUCAGCAUAAG